UACGUAGGUGGCAAGCGUUGUCCGGAUUCACUGGGUGUAAAGCGCGCGCAGGCGGUCUUCUACGUCUGGGGUGAAAACCCGGGGCUCAACCCCGGGACUGCCUUGGAUACGGGAAGACUUGAGGAUCGGAGAGGCAAGGGGAAUUCCACGUGUAGCGGUGAAAUGCGUAGAGAUGUGGAGGAACACCUGUGGCGAAGGCGCCUUGCUGGCCGAUUUCUGACGCUGAGGCGCGAAAGCGUGGGGAGCAAACAGG
rnacentral:rRNA from 1 species